GGUUCGGUAGCUCAGUUGGUUAGAGCGCCGCCCUGUCACGGCGGAGGUCGCGGGUUCGAGCCCCGUCCGAACCGCCA
rnacentral:tRNA from 1 species